AUGACUUAUGAUUCUUCCACCUUGACCUCUGUUCGACCUGUCGAGUCUCAUGUUCGUGUUCUUACGGCUGAUGGCACUCCCCUCCCUGUAGCUAGUCGAGGUAUUCUUAGCACUUCUUCAUUUCAUGUCCCCUCUGUCGCUCAUGUUCCUCGACUUACCAUGCAGCUCAUAUCUGGUAGUCAGAUUGUUGACUCUAGUUGUAGGGUCAUUCUCGACUUUGAUUCGUGUUCCGUUCAGGAUCGUCGCACGGGCGCUCUGCUUGGUGCUGGUCCUCGACGCUCUGAUGGUCUAUGGGAGCUUGACUGGCUUCGUCUUCCCUCCACUGCCACCGCUGCCAGUCUCGCAACCCCUGUUGCUGCAUCUACCAGCUCUUUUCAGCAGUGGCAUCAUCGUCUUGGCCAUUUAUGUGGUUCUCGUCUCUCAUCCUUGGUUCAUCGCGGUGUUCUGGGGUCUGUCUCUGGUAAAGCUUCAUUGGAUUGCCUGGGUUGUAGGCUUGGUAAGCAGAUUCAGCUACCAUAUCCUCACAGUGAGUCAGUCUCCGAACGCCCUUUUGAUCUUGUUCACUCUGAUGUUUGGGGUCCGGCUCCCUUCGCUUCAAAAGGGGGUCAUCGCUACUAUAUUAUCUUCAUAGACGAUUUUUCUCGGCACACUUGGAUCUAUUUCAUGUCUUCUCGUAGUGAGGUCUUAUCUAUAUACAAAAAAUUUGCUGUCAUGGUUCAUACCCAGUUUUCCACUCCUAUUCGUGUUUUUCGCGCAGAUUCAGCUGGUGAGUAUAUCUCCCAUGCACUACGAGGGUUUCUUGUUAAGCAGGGUACUCUUCCUCAGUUCUCUUGUCCUGAUGCUCAUGCUCAGAAUGGUGUGGCUGAGCGCAAGCAUCGUCACCUUCUUGAGACGGCGCGUGCGAUGAUGAUUGCCGCCUCUCUUCCGCCUCAGUUCUGGGCUGAGGCUAUUACCACUUCCAUAUAUCUCAUCAACAUUCAGCCAUCUACUGCUCUACAGGGUGGUAUUCCUCUCGAGCGUCUUUCUGGUCGUUCCCCUGAUUAUUCGGCGCUUCGUUUGUUUGAUUGCGUUUGCUAUGUUUUCCCUGCCCCUCGUGAACACACCAAACUGACCGCUCAGUCUGUUGAGUGUGUCUUUCUCGGAUAUAGUGAUGAACAUAAGGGCUAUCGGUGUUGGGAUCCUGUCGGUCGCCGGAUGCGUAUUUCCCGGGAUGUGACCUUUGACGAGUCUCGUCCCUUCUACCCGCGUCCAUCCUCCCCGGCCUUUUCCACAGAGGACAUCUCUUUUCUUACGUUUCCAGAUGCACCUCCCUCUGUGCCCAGUAUUCCUACUCCUCGUCCUACCAUUGUAGACCAGACGCCAUCCUCUCCCAUAGUUUCUUCUUCUUCCUCAUCACAUGGCUCUCCACCUUCAUCACUGAGACAUUCCCCUGCUCCACCUUCAUCACCGAUACAUUCCCCGUCACCGCCUUCAUCACCGAUACAUUCCCCGUCUCCACCUCCAGUGAUUCCACCUCUUCCCUCCUUUCCUUUCCAUUAUACUCGUUGCUCACGUGUUACUGAUGUGCCCUCUACUUCUGGUGCGUCGUCUUCCUCCUCUCGGCCGACUUAUGGUCUUUGUUCUCGGCCUCGUCCGCCCCUGACCGAUAUUCUCCUUCUCGCUAUGGUCUUUCGACCGUUCUGGAGCCGACUUCCUAUCGAGAUGCUGUUGUUCAUCCCGAAUGGCAGUUUGCGAUGGCAGAGGAGACUGCUGCCCUUGAGCGCACCGGCACGUGGGAUCUGGUUUCUCUUCCUCCCCGUGUUCGUCCCAUCACUUGUAAGUGGGUCUAUAAGAUUAAGACUCGCUCUGAUGGUUCACUUGAGCGUUAUAAAGCUCGUCUUGUCGCUCGUGGCUUUCAGUAGGAGCAUGGUCGUGAUUACGAUGAGACUUUUGCUCAUGUGGCCCAUAUGA
rnacentral:rRNA from 1 species